GAAGAAUCCAGUCAUGUCCCCUUUCCUUAAACAAGAUCGCACCAUGAUCCAGGAAGUUAUGUCAUUUUGAAAGGAAAACAGCACAAACAUCACUUGCAAUCAAGUGUUUAUUCGGGCCACUCAACCUGCAGCUAAUCUUGGCCUAUCGGAGAACAGCUUCGCCUGUAGCCAGCAGGCCUGUGCAGUUCCUUUCACAUCACACAAAAGUCAGAUACUCAGAUGGUGAGGCAGUUUAGCUGAGUUGACCUUUUAAAAAAGUGGACCCCUGAGGCUGCUGGAUGGUGUUUAAAUAAGAAAUCAAGGCCUGCACAGGUUUGGAAUAACAUGAGGAUGAAUGAAUAAUGACAACUUGUGGGUGAAUUGUUGCUCUAAGAUGCAAAGAUGGAGCUCUUGGGACCAACAUUAUUUUUAAGAUCUUGUUAAAGCAUCACGAGCCUACUGUGAGUAUUUACCCAAGACACUCGGUCCAGCUGGGUUGAUAGUGGUGAAGUAAACAGCAUGAAAACAUAUAUUUGUUGAAAAUGAAUGAUGAUAUUGAUACACAUGGCUUUUUUUUUUUUUUUACUCUCCCUAAAAUCAAUUCAACAUUAUUUAUCUAUAUUUAUCCCUUUUACUUUGGCUGAAGGUCAUUUUGCAGUGCACCUGGAAGACUGUGCUUUUAUUUUAUUUUUUUACUGUGACAGGGAACAUCUGUGAGACUCAGACUAUCCCUACAGAAGUCUGUGGGUUGUCUUUGCUAACUAAAUGCCUGUAGAAAUCAAGUAAUAAAUAGUUAAUUUUGUUGGUAGUGAAGGUUUAUGCUGCAGGCAAUUUGUAACUGAAGUGAAGAGCUCAGAGUGAAUCAUCCUGAUCUGAAGCCGAGACUGACACCGAGCAGAAAAAACAUGCCAGAUAUUUGCCAAACACCUUAUCACCACGCUCCAUCUCUCUGUUCUCAAAGAGGAUGUGUGUAUUAUCAUAUUGGCUUGUGUGGGUGAGAGUAAUUAUGUUCUACUGGACAGAAUACUGUUUUGUACAUGUGUUCUGGCAGCUGUGGUCUUUCAAAACCUGAUUUGAAAGAUGCUCAAGUUGUUUGUUCUCAAUAUCUGGAGUCAGAAAUGUUUGCAUCCCAGAGUAAAGCUGAAGCGUGUCAUGUCUGUGCCACUAGCAAAAUAACUGUGAGGGUUUUCACUCAUAAUAAAGUUUUCCCAAACUAUCUGCCUUUGUUUAGCCAAACACAUAUUCCCACUUGUGGUGUUCGACUAACAGCGUCACUUUUGCAUAUAGAAUAAAAUACAUUUGCAUAAAAAAUUGCACACUUCAGCA